UACGUAGGGUGCGAGCGUUGUCCGGAAUUAUUGGGCGUAAAGGGCUCGUAGGCGGUUUGUCGCGUCGGGAGUGAAAACACCGGGCUUAACUCGGUGCUUGCUUUCGAUACGGGCAGACUAGAGGCAUGCAGGGGAGAACGGAAUUCCUGGUGUAGCGGUGAAAUGCGCAGAUAUCAGGAGGAACACCGGUGGCGAAGGCGGUUCUCUGGGCAUGACCUGACGCUGAGGAGCGAAAGUGUGGGGAGCGAACAGG
rnacentral:rRNA from 1 species